rnacentral:rRNA from 1 species
GAUGAACGCUGGCGGCGUGCCUAAUACAUGCAAGUAGAACGCUGAAGGAGGAGCUUGCUCUUCUGGAAGAGUUGCGAACGGGUGAGUAACGCGUAGGUAACCUGCCUCUUAGCGGGGGAUAACUAUUGGAAACGAUAGCUAAUACCGCAUAAAAGUCGACAUUGCAUGAUGUUGACUUAAAAGGUGCAAUUGCAUCACUACCAGAUGGACCUGCGUUGUAUUAGCUAGUUGGUGGGGUAACGGCUCACCAAGGCGACGAUACAUAGCCGACCUGAGAGGGUGAUCGGCCACACUGGGACUGAGACACGGCCCAGACUCCUACGGGAGGCAGCAGUAGGGAAUCUUCGGCAAUGGACGGAAGUCUGACCGAGCAACGCCGCGUGAGUGAAGAAGGUUUUCGGAUCGUAAAGCUCUGUUGUAAGAGAAGAACGAGUGUGAGAGUGGAAAGUUCACACUGUGACGGUAUCUUACCAGAAAGGGACGGCUAACUACGUGCCAGCAGCCGCGGUAAUACGUAGGUCCCGAGCGUUGUCCGGAUUUAUUGGGCGUAAAGCGAGCGCAGGCGGUUAGAUAAGUCUGAAGUUAAAGGCUGUGGCUUAACCAUAGUACGCUUUGGAAACUGUUUAACUUGAGUGCAAGAGGGGAGAGUGGAAUUCCAUGUGUAGCGGUGAAAUGCGUAGAUAUAUGGAGGAACACCGGUGGCGAAAGCGGCUCUCUGGCUUGUAACUGACGCUGAGGCUCGAAAGCGUGGGGAGCAAACAGG